GUAUUCCGCUCCAUAGCGUAUAUUAAAGUUGCUGCAGUUAAAAAGCUCGUAGUUGAAUUUCGGAACCAAUAUGUUGGUUGUGCCUCGGUACGUACUGGCAUUGUUGGUUUCUCCCUUCUGACGAACUAUGAUGUCAUUAAUUUGGUGUCAUGGGGAAUCAGGACUGUUACUUUGAAAAAAUUAGAGUGUUUAAAGCAGGCUCACGCUUGAAUACAUUAGCAUGGAAUAAUGAAAUAGGACGUUUGAUUCUAUUUUGUUGGUUUCUAGGAUUGACGUAAUGAUUAAUAGGGAUAGUUGGGGGCAUUAGUAUUCAAUUGUCAGAGGUGAAAUUCUUGGAUUUAUUGAAGACUAACUACUGCGAAAGCAUUUGCCAAGGAUGCUUUCAUUAAUCAAGAACGAAAGUUAGGGGAUCGAAGACGAUCAGAUACCGUCGUAGUCUUAACCAUAAACUAUGCCGACUAGGGAUCGGAUGAUGUUAAUUUUUUAAUGACUCAUUCGGCACCUUACGGGGAAACA
rnacentral:rRNA from 1 species